CUGAAAUGGCCAUUUUACAGCUUGCAGCUGCUACUGCUUCCUGCCUCUUCCUCUUCCAAGACGGUACAAGAGAUGCCUCCCCUCAAGAAGUCUGACAGUUUGGAAAUCCAAAUGCAAUGGAGUGCUACAGAUAGCUUCUUGCCCGGCAAACUGGAGCUGGAAUUUUCAGAAGUGGUCACUGAUUUUGGGUGCUCCAAUUUUUGGGUACCUGGCCUAAGGCAACGAGGCCCUAAUUCUCAGAGGUGCGGAAUGCUCCCAACUCCCACCAACUCCAAAGAGAGCUGUGGAUGCACAGCCCCUCUGAAAACCAGCCCAUGUAUAUUCCUACUUACCUCAGUGGACUCUGAAAGCUUAUACUUGGAGAGCUGAAAUAAGUACAAUGUAUUUUCAAAAGCAAAUCAAAUGUUA